GCGAAGGUGGCGGAAUUGGUAGACGCGCUAGCUUCAGGUGUUAGUGUUCUUACGGACGUGGGGGUUCAAGUCCCCCCCCUCACACCA
rnacentral:tRNA from 1 species